rnacentral:rRNA from 1 species
ACUGCUCAGUAACACGUGGACAACCUGCCCUUAGGUUGGGUAUAAACCCGGGAAACUGGGUAUAAUACCCGAUAGGUCUCGAUUGCUGGAAUGCAUCGAGAUUUAAAGCUCCGGCGCCUAAGGAUGGGUCUGCGGCCUAUCAGGUAGUAGUGGGUGUAGCGUACCUACUAGCCUACGACGGGUACGGGUUGUGAGAGCAAGAGCCCGGAGAUGGAUUCUGAGACACGAAUCCAGGCCCUACGGGGUGCAGCAGGCGCGAAAACUUUACAAUGCUGGCAACAGCGAUAAGGGGACCUCGAGUGCCAGGUUACAAAUCUGGCUGUCGAGAUGCCUAAAAAGCAUUUCAUAGCAAGGGCCGGGCAAGACCGGUGCCAGCCGCCGCGGUAACACCGGCGGCUCGAGUGGUAACCGUUAUUAUUGGGUCUAAAGGGUCUGUAGCCGGCCGGAUAAGUCUCUUGAGAAAUCUGGCAGCUUAACUGUCAGGCUUUCAGGAGAUACUGUCUGGCUCGAGGCCGGGAGAGGUGAGAGGUACUUCAGGGGUAGGGGUGAAAUCUUGUAAUCCUUGAAGGACCACCAGUGGCGAAGGCGUCUCACCAGAACGGACCUGACGGCAAGGGACGAAAGCUAGGGGCACGAACCGGAUUAGAUACCCGGGUAGUCCUAGCCGUAAACGAUACUCGCUAGGUGUCGGCCACGGUGCGACCGUUGUCGGUGCCGUAGGGAAGCCGUGAAGCGAGCCACCUGGGAAGUACGGCCGCAAGGCUGAAACUUAAAGGAAUUGGCGGGGGAGCAC